UAAUAAUCAACUAAAAACAAAAGUGCACAUUGUAAAUGAAAGAAAUGCAACAAAAGCAUCACUAACUAAAACAAACUAGUGCUCCAUUUCUUAUUAAACAGGCAGUGGAAAAGCUCCACUGCCAUAUUACAGAUUACAGGCAAGACAGAGCAUAUUGUCAUGCCUUUGUUUCAUACAUAGACUACAUAUUAUUCGUUAGGACUUAGGAAACAGCAACCUUAGACUUCUGGAGAUCAUUCUCAACUUCACGAACAUAUUCAUCCACUUUGCUGGCAUAUUCAGAUUCUCCUUCACAAAUAAAAGUUCCAUCAUCACUAAAGUACUUACAGCCCUUUUUACCUGCGCAACAAUUGGUGCAUAUCCGAUCAUUCUUCUUUUCUUCUGAAAGUGGGCAAAUCCCAUAGGCAAUUCUUCCAUCACAAUUCCGAGGACAGGCUUUUGGAUUUCUAGGAUCAGACUCUCCUUCACAAACAAAAGUUCCAUCAUCACUAAAGUACUUACAACCCUUUUUGCCUGCACAACAGUUAGUACAUANNNNNNNNNNNNNNNNNNNNNNNNNNNNNNNNNNNNNNNNNNNNNNNNNNNNNNNNNNNNNNNNNNNNNNNNNNNNNNNNUUNNUGCCUGCGCAACAGUUGGUGCAUAUCCGAUCAUUCUUUUUUUCUUCUGAAAGUGGGCAAAUCCCAUAGGCAAUUCUUGGAUCGCAAUUCCGAGGACAAGCCUUCGGAUUUCUAGGAUCAGACUCUCCUUCACAAACAAAAGUUCCAUCAUCACUAAAGUACUUACAUCCCUUCGUGCCUGCGCAACAGUUGGUGCAUAUCCGAUCAUUCUUCUUUUCUUCUGAACGCGGGCAAACUCCAUAGGCAAUUCUUGGAUCACAAUUUAAGGGACAAGCCUUGGCAUCUGCAUGUUCCACAUUGCUUACAAGCAGAGACAUUCCUAUAACAUAGCCACAUUAAUUACCUUAUGAGUGUUGAACAAUGGAUUCAAGUAAUUGGUUAAGAGAGAAACUUAAAGAAAGGGAAAUACAUAAAAUCCUCCUUAAAUUACGUAGAAGUCUUAUUAUCCUCGUGAACUCGUUUGAAGUGAUAUUAUUACCUCCAUAUAACGCCCAGACAGUGGCAAAUUCAGAUGGGAGAAAUUCAAAAAUAGUUAGAUUUACAGGUGGUCAUUCAAAAAUAAUCAUAAUUUCAAAAGUAAUCGAAAUUUAGUCAUUUUUCAUGUAAAGAUAAAUAUGAACGGAAACACUGUUCAAAAUCAAAAAAUAAGUCCAGUAUAAUAUACUGGAAUUCAAGUAUAAUAUAGUGAAACUCCAGUAUAUUCUAGCACAAGUAUACUGGAAUUCCAGUAUAAUAUACUAGAGAUCCAGUAUAAUUACCGGUCCAGCAUAAUAUACUGGAGAUUGAAGCAGUAUAUUACACUGAAACUUUUAACGUAUUGGAGUUCCAACAUAAUAUGUUGGAAGUUCAUACAUAGGUGCACCGAUCUCCAGUAUAUUAUAUUGGAACUUUCUGUAUUGCAGCAAAAUAAUGACUAUUUAUCAAUGACUAUUUAUCAAUGACUUUGUAAACGCUGACUAUUUUUGAAUGACCAGUCCGAAAACUGGCUAGCCCGUACUAUUUUUACAAUUUAGAUGAACAUUUGUGGGUGCUUGUGCACCCAUUACUUUUGACUAAAUAUAGUAAAUUUGCUUAGAUAAUUAUAAAAAUAUUUAAAUAAAUAUUAAGUGACCCAUAAUUAAACUCCUUUUUCCUCUCCUUUCGGAUUUUUUACACGCGAGCACUUAACGAGAGUGAUGAGAAAAUAUGUUUGAAAUUUUAUCUUUUUCAUUAAUUCUUUUGUUUAAUUUUUUCGCUUCUUAAAGUCUUUUUCUUUCAUUUUUCUUUAUAAUCAUUUAUUUUCUCCAUCCUUAUUCAUAUACCUCCCACAGUGCACACACAGAACAUAUCCUCAGGGGCAUAAACACACAAAGUCACCAACGCUCAAUUAGUCUCCAGCGAAAGAGGUGAAGGAGAAACCAAAAAGUAAAAGAAAAAAGAAUAAAAUAAGGUUAAAAAUCAACAACAAAAAAAAGAAAAAUUAAAGAUCAAAAGUUUUUUUUAAUGAAAAUGACAUGUGGCACAACAAAAUUGGUGCAUGACGAUUACCAUCUUUCUUAAAACUAGGUUAGCCAAGAAAGAAAAUAGUAAUAUCACUUUAAUCGACUUCAGGGUAAUAGGACUCUCGCAAAGGUUAGUAACAAACUAAAGUAGACAAAUUCGAGGGGAUUUUAUGUAUUUUCCCUUAAAGAAAGCUGAAAAGAAGAGCCUUACCAAGUAAGAGGAGGAGAGCAAGGAAACUAACUCUGUGAACAGCCAUACUUACUAUCUCCUU
rnacentral:lncRNA from 1 species